UGUGCCCAACAUCCCAGCUUUUUUGGAAGUGGUGUUGUAUAUGUUCUGACAAAGGUAAGUACAAAUAGUAUAAAUACCUUGUAAAUAACCACUCUCUUAAACAGCUGUUGCAACCGUGACAACUUUCAUACCGGGAGUUGCCACAUGGACAAAUCAAAAUACCAACACAACAAACUUCACAACUGGAACAGGAACCAUGGAGCCUAUAGAACUUUCAACAGCCCUAAACUUCACAGCUGAAGAAGAACCUAAAAUCAACACAGGUACCAUCGUGUUUGCUACCGUUGGUGGUGUUGGUCUGAUCUCCGUCUUGCUGCUGGCAGUAUGUUUCCGGAAGUCCAGAAAAACCUCAAAACAUAAACAAUUAAUUUGCUCCAAAGGUGCAGACCUCACCAGUGCAAACAAAAGAGAGGUAUGAGUCAGAAAACGGGGAUCACUAUGAAAGUA